rnacentral:lncRNA from 1 species
UUUCAUCAUGAUUCUUCUCAAACAUGUCACCAUUUGACAUCUGCAAACCAAAAGUGAAAAUUCCCAGCUCUUCAUCGAUACACAAGCACAUGAAAUUGCAAAUUUAAAAAUAGAAGAAAAAAUCCAUCUGGGUGUCGUUUUAAUAUUUUCUUUUUUCAGCUUUUAAUUACCCAAUAUGAUAAAAAAUGAAAAACAAAAAUUUCUGAAACGGACCAUUCAAAUAUCAAUGGUCUAAUCAGAUUUUUAAGCCUGGUUCAUAUGGGUCAGACUAAUAGAAUCGGAUUAAACUUCAAAGCUAACCUUACAACGAGGGAAAAAAAACCUUUUUUUUCAGGAAAAAAAUAACUGUUGGAAAGAUGACUUACAUAGAAGGCAACAACAACGCCGGCAGUAUAAUCAGCAGGCAACUUUAUUGAAGCACUGAAGAAACCAUGAAGAUAGAGGUCAUGUGACACAAAUCCAGACCCUGUAUACACACAAUAAAAGUCAUACUCAGAAACCCUAACAGGAACAAAAAUUAAGUACACAAAAACGGGAAAAAAAAAGAAUAAGAAGAAGAAACACAGACCUGUUCUUUCAUCUAGAGAUAAAUGAACAGAUUUUCCAUCUCUAUGAACAACAAGAUUAUCAUGCCCAAACAAAUGACUAUACCCUUCAUCAAAAGGCACAAUAGGCAGGUUUCUGUACAACCCAGAAGCAACUACAGCAAGAAGAGAAAAUACUAGAAGAAAACAACCCUCAUAAGACACCACCAUCUUUUCUUCUCUCUCUGUUUUUGCUCUGUCUCUGUGUGUGUAUGUUUAUAUAUAUAUGUGCGUGUAUUUCUGUUCUUGGGUGAAAUUAAAUAUUAUCUCUCCGUGUUUGUCAAGAAGAGGAAGACCGAGAGACUAGAGUUCUGUGAGAUAGAGGGAGAGAGAGAGAGAGAGAGACAGAGAGAGUUACAAAAGGCUCAUGAGAAAGGAAGACAAGCGGAGUUCAUUUUAUUGGUGAGUGUAAGUUUUCUGACAUUUUUAAUUUUUUUUUGUAUUAUAAAUUGCCUUUAUUUAUUUUAUUUAUUUUGUUGUGUCUUUUUUUGUUAUUAUUUUUUUAAUACAUUUUUUUCUAUUGUUAUUGUUAGUUACUUUAUGGAAUUUUUAUUUUUAUUUUCCAAAAGUAAAGUUUUAGUAGGAAUCAUGAAACGGAGACAAGAGCCAUGAAGUAUUUGCCAACACAUGUCCUGUCUGCUCAGAUUCUUUUUCUCUCUUUUUUUUUUU